UACGUAGGGGGCAAGCGUUGUCCGGAUUUACUGGGCGUAAAGAGCGCGUAGGCGGAAUGGUAAGCGGGGCCGGAAAGCCCCCGGCUCAACCGGGGAAGGGGCCGCGAACUGCCAUUCUUGAGGGGAGAGGGGAGAGCGGAAUCCUGGUGUAGCGGUGAAAUGCGUAGAGAUCAGGAGGAACACCAAUGGCGAAGGCAGCUCUCUGGCUUCACCCUGACGCUGAGGCGCGAAAGCGUGGGGAGCGAACGGG
rnacentral:rRNA from 1 species